UACGUGAAACUGCUCAGAGGUAAACGGGUGGGCCCUCGAAAUCCUGUGGCGAGAGGAUUCAGUCACGAGUGGCGUCCCCGGCAGUCGGAAAACCAGAGCAGGGCGAUCCCGGAAGGGAGCCGUCCGACGCCGGGUCAGAUGCCGCCGCCGACGCAUUUGACUCUCGUCCGAAGGACGCCGCAGCCGAUCGGGUAGCUGCAAGCGCGACGGCCUGAAGGCGGGGAGAUGGCAGGUGGCCGGUGUGGGGGCUCGUCCCCCUUCGCCGGUUGUUAGCCGUCCCCGCAGUGGCCCGUCACCCGAUCGAGGUACCACUACGCCCGAAAGGGCUCCUCCGUCUCCUCCGAAGGAUUGCGGGACAGAGCGUCGCAGGCGAGACCCGCCGCCCCGUGGCACUCCACACGAGUGGACGAGCGAACGGGAAGCACCGAUGGCGACGCCGGGCCCGUCGGGGGUCGGAGGCUGGCGGCGAGUAGGUCGGUCACCCACCCGACCCGUCUUGAAACACGGACCAAGGAGUCUAACAUGUGCGCGAGUCAAUGGGUCUUGAACAGGCCCAGAGGCGCAAUGAAAGCAAAGGCCUUCCAAGCGUCGGCCGAGUUGGGAUCCCCGUCCUGAAACGGCGGGGCGCACCAACGACCCGUCCCAUCCGGCUCGCCGGUCGGGCGGAGUGUGAGCGUACACGUUGGGACCCGAAAGAUGGUGAACUAUGCCUGGACAGGACGAU
rnacentral:rRNA from 1 species